CUUCUGUCUUCCUCUCUGCAUCCCAAGAAGUUGACACUGGAGGAGACACCUUCCCUGAGUUUAAGCAUCUGACUGAGCUGCUCAGAAAGGUUACAGUUCAAGCAGUAAAGCCAUCUUUCCUCUCUACAUUCCAAAACCUGACAAUGGAGGAGAACCCAUCCCUGAGUUUAUGAAUUACACAUAUUCACGGCAAGCAGCAAGGAGAUCCGGUCCAGGCACCAGGAGAGACAUCACUGGGAACCUUCAUCUGGUGAUGGAUGGAGAUAGAGACAGAGACCCACACUGGAGCACUGGACUGAGCUCCCAAGGUCCCAAUGAGAAGCAGAUGGAGGGAGAACACGAGCAAGGAUGUCAGGACCACGGGGGGUGCACCCACCCACUGAGACAGUGGGGCUGAUCUAUUGGGAGCU